CUUCCUGCCGUCCCCCGCCUGAGGGAGGGGAGCGGUGCAGCAGACAUCCGAGGGCAGCUGGGACCCCCUGACUCAGCCGACGGGUGAGUCAGGCUCCCUGCAGGCCACACCGGACCCCCCCAGGGCGGGGAUUUCCCCAAGAUGAGAAAUCAGCCACCGGAAGUCACGCCGGACCUUGGACGGGCAGACAGAGGCUGGGAGGAGUUCUGGGUGCAGAGCCCCCCAACCUGGUAAGUACAAUGAUCCCAGGGCUAGGACACCAACGAGAUUUUCCAAAGGGCAGACGAGCUUCAGCGGUUCCUCCACCCCCAUUCCCCACGUGUGGGAGCCCUCCUCCCUAGCGGCCCCGUCCUGCAAUCGUCCCCCUGCGCGAAGACUUCCGUUUAUCUCCAGCAUGGAUGGAGGGAAAGUCAAGCUCAAACACAAGGUCCCCAUCAGCAAUGGAACCCAAUGAUCCGCUGGGGGUUCAAAUUGGGGGUGUCAGGCACGGGUGUCUCUGGAGCCCAGAGAAAAAUCCAAGAUUCUUUGAAAUGGCAAAAGCCCCCAAAAGUGACUUUCUUGUAUUGCCACGAUGAACUGGAACUGCCCUGACAAACUCUAAAAAGAUAGAGACCUUAAUAAAUUGUGUAGAGAAGAAUUAAAAGAGUGAAUACAGAUGCAUGGAAAAUCUCUAGAACAGUGCCUGGCACUCAUAUUAAGUAUUGGCUCUCACACAUGGAUAACAGACACAAGGAGACCAAGUGACUUGCCCCAGGUGGCACAACUAGUUAGUGGCAGAGAUGGAGGAAAAACCAGUCUCUGAUUCUUUGUUCACAGCUCAGGUACCUUCAGUCCUUUCUGAAAUUAAGUGAGAGUAUAAAUAAAGUCAUUUAGUGGAUAAAUGAAUUUUACCACUGUUAAAUAUCAGAGUAGACCUGGCACAGUGGCUCACGCCUGUAGUCCCAGCACUUUGGGAGGCCAGGGCAGGAGGAUCACUUGAGCCCAGGAGUUCAAGACCAGCCUGGGCCACACAGCCAGGAGUUUAAGAACAACCUGGGCAAAACAGUGAGACCUCGUCUCUACUAAAAAAAAAAAAAAAAGAAAAUUAGCCUGGCAUGGUGGCAUUUGCCUGUAGUCCUAGCUACUUAGGAGGCCAAGGGAGAAGGAUUGCUUGGCCCAGAAGUCUGCGGUGAGCUAUGAUGGAGCCAAGAAAUUAGAUUCCUGCUCCUCUACUUGCUACUAAAAGGGCCAAUCCUCUUGUUAAAUCCCAAAACAUAAGGCAGGAAACCAAAUGAGCCUCUGCUCCCACUCAUUGGAGCCCUUGUUCCCUUCAAGGAGCCCUAGAAGAUGGAAGAGUAUUUGCUGCAUCAGUCACUUCUCCCUCUCCUGACACUUUGUGAUGUGUGAUUUCAUCACACUUUUGCUGUGAUGAAAUCUCAGCUUCUCCCAAAUGCUCACCAAUAUCCUAGCCUCCAACCUGGCUGGAAUUCUGCUAUUCUCUUUCUAACUCAAAUUGGCAUUCAGCAUUUCUAGGUGUGGUCAGGUAAGACACCACUGCUGAGUGGGGACAAGACCAGGAAGGCUAAAGUCAGAAAAAAAUCAGAGGCAAAGCCAGGCACGACUGAGGGCGCCUGUAGUUGCAGCUACUCACAGGCUGAGGCAGGAGGAUCGCUUGAGUUUGAGGCAGGAGGAUCGCUUGAGUUUGAGGCUGCAGUGCGCUAUUGAUAGCACCUGUCAAUAGUCACUGCACUCGAGCCUGGACAACACAGUGAGAUACUCAUCUCUUUAAAAAAUUUUUAAUUAUAACUGCUGGGCGCAGUGGCUCACGCCUGUAAUCCCAGCACUUUGGGAGGCUGAGGAGGGCGGAUCACCUGAGGUCAGGAGUUCGAGACUGGCCUGGCCAACAUGGUGAAACCCCAUCUCUACUAAAAAUACAAGAAUUAGCCAGGUGUGGUGGUGCAUGCCUGUGAUCCCAGCUACUCAGAAGGCUGAGGCACGAGAUUCGCUUGAACCUGGGAGGCGGAGGUUUCAGUGAGCCCAGAUCGAGCCACUGCACUCCAGCCUGGGCAACAGAGCGAGACUCCAUCUCAAAAAAUAAAAAAAUAAAUUAAGUAUAACCAAAAAAAAGCAACUAAAGACAACAACCAAAAACAAACAAACAAACAAAAAAACCAGUUACAUGUUUGCUUUUAAUUCUAUUAGAAUAAACAGGAGGGCUCCAAAAAAAUCCUCAAAGGAGUUUCCAUAUUUACUCACAUAUUCCACCCUUGAUAUUUUUAUUCUCAAAGCACAAGAAUGAGGGACCUAAUUAUAAGAGGCCCAUGCUCUCCUGCCAUCCUUACAUAUUUUCAUUUAUCUUUGAGACUCUCACCCCUGGGUAACUCAAAAAGUGGCUCAUCUGUAGUUAAAAAGCAAAGUUAAUUAGCAUCUGGCACUUCCUUCUUUCCUUCCUCAAUUCUCCAAGCUUAGACUAAAAGUCUGUCUUAAUUGAGGCUUCCUGAGUUUGUGACCUGGGGCAGGAGUUGAGGGGUUGGGGAUAUAAGCAGAGAGAGAAAAAAAAAAAGCUUGGGUUUGCAUUGCUCAUUCUUUUUUCUUUUUUCUUUCUUUUUUUUUUUUUUUUGAGACAGGGUCUCACACUGUGACCCAGGCUGGAGUGCAGUGGCGCUAUCACAGGUGCUUGACCUUGUGGACUCAGGUGAUCCUCCCACCUCAGCCUCCCGAGUAGCUGAGGUGUGUGCCACCAUGCCCAACUAAUUUUUAAUUUUUGUAGCGAUGAGGUCUUGAGGUCUUGCUAUGUUGUCCAGGCUGGUCUCAAACUCCUAGGCUCAAGGGAUCUGCCUGCCUCAGCCUCACAAAGUGUUGGGAUUACAGAUGUGAGCCAUCACACCCAACUGCAUUGCUCUUUCUUUUUUCUUUUUUUUUUUUUUUUGAGACGGAGUCUCUCUCUGUCGCCCAGGCUGGAGUACAGUGGCACCAUCUCAGCUCACUGCAACCUCGGCCUCUUGGGUUCAAGCGAUUCUCCUGUCUCAGCCUCCCAAGUAGCUGGGAUUACAGGGGCCUGCCACCAUGCCCAGCUAAUUUUUGUAUUUUCAGUACAGAUGGGGUUUCAUCAUGUUGGCCAGGCUGGUCUCGAACUCCUGACCCCAGGUGAUCCACCCUCCUUGGCCUCCCAAAGUGCUGGGAUUACAGGCGUGAGCCACUGCGCCCAGCCUGCAUUGCUCAUUCUUUCAAGUAUCAGCCAAAAAGCACGUGUGGCUCGUGGUUGCAGGGACUCCUCCCAUUGAGAGAUGGCCUCUGUGUCCCCUCCUCUUAAAUCUAGUGGGCUUGUGACUGCCAAGAGAGUAUGGCAGCAGAGAUGCUAAGUGACUUGAGAGGUGAGGCCAUGAGAAGCCAUGCCGCUUCCUCCUUGGUUAGAAUGCUGGCUCUUGGAAUUCUGAGCAUUAAGUUAGAGGUCUGACUACCCUGACGCUGCCAUGCAGUGACACAACCCAAGCAAGCCAGAAGGAGAAACCAUGUGAAGGCACUCAAGUUGACAGUCCCACCUGAGCCCAACCUUCGUCAUCCCACCCAGGUACCAGACAUGAGUGAUGAAACUUCCAGAUGAUUCCAGACCCCACCUGUUCAAGUUGUUACCAACCCCUUGAGAGUCUUCCCAGCUGACUCCAGAUAUCAUGGGAGCAGAGCCAGGCCGUCCUGCUGAGCUCUGUCGGAAUUCCUGGCCCCUGGGACCGUGAGCAUCACAGUGUUGCUUUAUACCGCUGAGCUUGGGACAGGCUGUUAUGUAGCAAGAGAUCCCUAGAACUCUGAAGAUCUCAUAAAAUCCUCAAAACAACCCCACUAAAUAGUUACAAUAGUCAUCUUCAUGAGGAAACUGACGCCGAAGCCGUGCAGGAAGUGACAGAGCAGGAAUCAGAACCCACCUGGAACCACCACCUAAAACUGCUUCUAACACCAAGUUGUCCCACUGCUAUAAGGCACAAGGCUCGUUUUUUUUGUUGUUGUUGUUGUUGUUUUUAUUUUUUUUUUUUGAGACAGAGUCUCACUCUGUCGCCCAGGCUGGAGUGCAGUGGCGCGAUCUCGGCUCACUCCAAGCUCUGCCUCCCGGGUUCACGCCAUUCUCCUGCCUCAGCCUCCCGAGUAGCUGGGACUACAGGUUCCCGCCACCACACCCGGCUAAUUUUUUGUAUUUUUAGUAGAGAUGGGUUUUCACCGUGUGAGCCAGGAUGGUCUCAAUCUCCUGACCUGGUGAUCCGCCCGCCUCUGCCUCCCAAAGUGCUGGGAUUACAGGCAUGAGCCACCAUGCCCAGCCUGUUUUGGUUUUUUGGUUUUUUUUUUUUUUUUGAGACAAUGUCUCCCUUUGUCACCCAGGCUGGCAUGCAGUGGUGCCAUCUUAGCGAGACCCAGCCCCCCAAAAAAAAAAAAAAAAAAGGUCCAGGGCCCAAUCCCAGUGGGGAAAGCGUUUGACACGUCCCACCAUGGCACUGGGUCACCCCUAUGAUGGGUUACACCAUCUAACAGAAGUCAGCAGAGACAUCUCCUUUCCUGGUUGGCCCAUGAGUGUCCCUGAGGGACAGGGUCAGUUCCCACUAAAAUGGACAUCCAUUGUUACACAUUUAAAACCCCAGUGGUGGCUCAUGACUGUAAUCACAGCACUUUGAGAGGCCAAGGAGGGUGGAUCACCUGAGGUCAGGAGUUUGAGACCAGCCUGGCCAACAUGGUGAAACCCUGUCUCUACUAAAAACACAAAAAUUAGCCACCUGUGGUGGUGUGCACCUGUAAUCCCAGCUACUCGGGAAGCUGAGGCAGGAAAAUCGCUUGAACCCAGGAGGCGGAGAUGGCAGUGAGCUGAAAUCGUGCCACUGCACUCCAGCCUGGACAACAGAGUGAGACAGCGAGACUCCGUCUCGAAAUAAAUAAAUAAAUACCCAGGCCAGACGUGGUGGCUGACGCCUAUAAUCCCGGCGCUUUGGGAGGCCGAGGUGGGCAGAUCACCUGAGGUCAGAAGUUCGAGACCAGCCUGGCCAACAUGGUUAAACUUCGUCUCUCCUAAAAAUACCAAAAAUUAGCCAAGUGUAGUGGCAUGCCUGUAAUCCCAGCUACUCAGGAGGCUGAGACAGGAGAACCCUGGAGGCGGAGGUUGUAGUGAGCUGAGAUGGCGCCACUGCACUCCAGCCUGGGCAACAAGAGUGAAACUCUGUCUCAAAUAAUACUAAUAAUAAAAUAAAAAAUAAAAACGCAGCCUUGGCUAGGUGUGGUGGCUCAUGUCUGUAAUCCUAGCACUUUGGUAGGCCAAGGCAGGCAGAUCGCUUGAGCUCAGGAGUUGGAGACCAGCCUGGCCAACGUGGCAAAACCCUAUUUCUACAAAAAAUACAAAAAUUAGCCAGGCGUGGUGGUAGUCCCAGCUACUCAGGAGGCUGAGGCAACAAGAUCACUUGAACUCAGGAGGUUGAAGCUGCAGUUGGGAAAAGCUGAGAUUUCAUCACAGAGAACUCAUAGCUGGUCCAAAGCUAAGUCCUGGGCAGACUGAAAUCCCUUCCAGAACAAGCUGGCUCAUUCUCCAAAGCUAAGUCCCGGGGAGACUGCAGUCCCUUCCAGAACAAGCUGGAUCACUCUCCAUAUGAAACUACAUUCAGUUACUUCCGUCCUGAGAUUCUCACCGUUGUGUAGCCCCCACCCACAUUCACAGUCAAUGUGACCUAAAGAAUAUGGCACAGUGAUGGGAUAGCACCUUUAACAUUAGAUUAUAAAAGAAUCCGGGCCAGGUUUGGUAGCUCACACCUGUAAUCCCAGCACUUUUGGAGCCCGAGGCGGGGAGGCGAGCAGAUUGCCUGAGGUCAGGAGUUCAAGCCAGCCUGGCUAACAUGGUGAAACCAUCUCUACUAAAAAUACAGAAACUAGUGGCGCACGCCUGUAGUCCCAGCUACUCGGGAGGCUGAGGCAGGAGAAUCGCUUUAACCCGGGAAGGGGAGGUUGCAGUGAGCCGAGAUUGCGCCACUGCACUCCAGCCUGGGUGACAGAGUGAGACUCCGUCUCAAACAAACAAACAAAAAAAGCAGCAGCAGCAGCCAGGCAUGGUGAUGCAUACCUGUAGUCCCAGCUGCUUGAGAGGGUGAGGCUGGAGGGUUGCUUGAGCCCAGGAGCUGGAGGCUGCAGUGAGCUCUGAUUGUGCCACUGCACCUCAGCCUGGGCAGCAGAGACCCUAUCUCUAAAAUUAAUUAAUUAAUUAAUGAAAAAAUUAGGUUAUGAAACAUCACUGGGGCUUCAGUCUUGGGCUUAUACACCCCCUCCCCUCCCCUCCCCUCUUCUCUCUCUCUCUCUGUCUCUCUCCAGUGCUCUCAUCUCUUGCUCUGGGGUAAGCCAGUGGCCAUGCUAUAAGGACACUCAAGCCACCCUAUGAAGAAGCCCACAUGAAGAGGAACUGAGAUAUCUGGCCAACAGCCAGCCAGUCACUGAGCCUGCCAACCACGCUGUGGCAGGUACCUCCAGCCCCAGACACCUGCAGCCUCCACUGAAAGCUCAAUGGCAGCCUCAUGAGACCCUGGACCGGAACCACCCAACGAAGCGGCUCCUGUAUUCCUGAUUGACAGAAACUACGGGAUCAUAAAUGCUUGCUGUUCAGUCUGCCAAGUGUUGGCGUGAUUUGUUAAACAGCAACCAGUAACUAAUACGCCACCCAUGGCUGCCGCGUUCCUGCUGUGGGGCCAGCACUAUUCCAUGCUUAGAGGCUCCAUCAAUACCUGUGAUGGACUAAAUGGUCAGUACAAACAACAGCUCCUCUGUAAUGGUAUGAGGCAGACAGGUUUCUAAAGGCAAUAUGCUAAGGUGCAAACUCAACCCCAAAAGACCACAUAGUGUAUCAUCCCAUUUAUAUGAAAUGUCCAGAACAGGCAAAUCCAUAGAGACAGAAAGCAGAUUAGUGGUUGCCAGAGGCUGAGAGAUGGAAGAAAAGUAGAGAGUAACUGCUAAUGGUGUGAAAUCUCUUUUUGGAGUGAUGAAAAUGUUUUAAUUUUUUUUUUUUAAUAGAGACAGGGUCUCACUAUAUUGCCCAGGCUGGUCUUGAACUUCUAGGCUCAAGUGAGUUCAGCCUCAGCCUCCCAAAGUGCUUGGAUUACAGACAUGAGCCACCAUGCACAGCUUAAAAUUUAUGAUGCUGAUGGUUGCAUAACUGUGAAUAUACUAAAAACCACUGAGGCGGGGUUUGGUGACUGACACCUGUAAUCCUAGCACUUUGGGAGGCCGAGGUGGGAGGAUCACUUGACACCAAGAGUUUGAAACCAGCCUAGGCAACAUAGCAAGACUCCAUCUCUACAAAAAAUUUAAAAAUAAAAAUAAAAACCAUUAGGCCAGGCAUGAUGGCUCAUGCCUGUAAUCCUAGCACUUUGGGAUGCCAAUGCGGGUGGAUCACCUGAGGUUAAGAGUUCGAGACCAGGCUGGCCAACAUGGUGAAACCCCAUCUCUACUAAAAAUACAUAAAGUAGCCCGGUGUGGUGGUGGGCGCCUGUAAUCCCAGCUACUCGGGAGGCUGAAACAGAAGGAUCACUUGAACCCGGGAGGCAGAGGUUGCAAUGAGCCGAGAUCACGCCACUGCACUUCAGCCUGUGUGACAGGAGUGAAACUCCAUCUCAAAAAUAAAAACGAAAACAAUAACAACAACAGCAACAAAAAACCAUUGCAUUGUGCACAUUAAAUGAAUUGUAUGGUAUGUGAAUUCUAGCUCAAUAAAGCUUCUUAUGCUAAAACAUGACGAGGAAGAAGAGGAGGAGGAGAAGAGGCAAAGUCACUGGUGCCCAAGGAAUGGCACCAGGAGUGGUCUCCAGGAAGGCUGGCCACCUGUAGGGCUGGGAGAGCUCUGUGAUGCUGACAUCAGGGGCCUUCUUCAUGCCUGAGAAACAGGACAUGGGCUAAGGGCGGCUAACCAAGGCCUGGGAGAAUAUUGAGAGGUAAACAGGCGAUGUGGGUGUGGGGCGCUCAGCCUACUUGGCCAAAGGGUGAGUUCUUGCUAAUUUCACAGGGAGAGCCUGACUGGUCUCAAGCACCUGAGGCCCAGCAUGAGAAGUCAACAUCCCUGACUUCUCAUCCUCUAUAGAAAUUUCCCCCAGACCAGGCGCGGUGGCUCACGCCUGUAAUCCCAGCACUUUGGCAGGCCAAGGUGGGCGGAUCACCUGAAGUCAGGAGUUCAAGACCAGCCUGGCCAACACCGUGAAACCCCGUCUCUACUAAAAAUACAAAAAUUAGCCAGGCAUGGUGGCACGUGCCUGUAAUCCCAGCUACUCAGGAGGCUGAGGCAGGAGAAUCACUUGAACCUGGGAGGCGGAGGUUGCAGUGAGCCAAGAUCGUGCCAUUGCACUCCAGCCUGGGCGACAGAGCAAGACUCCAUCUCAAAAAAAAAAAAAAAAAAAAAAGUUUCUCCUGACUACCCGGAAAGAAGGUUCACACACCCAGCUCUCGCAGGCAUGCUUCCCCAUGUGCCUAAGCCAAGGCCCUUCCCACAAAAGGGGCCUUACACAUGCCCCAAAGGAUGGUCCUCUUCCAGAAAUGAGCCGAUGAUACAGUGGAGAGUCACCCAAAGACGCAGGAAAGUCGAUCCUUGCUGAAAGCCCCAGAAAGGGGCUGUAAAUUUAGGACAAAGGAUUUAAAUGGCAGGGGCAAACUUGUGCAAUGUCUUCUUUAAGAGGUGGUCAAGAAAGAAAAUAGAAACAGGUUCAAGACAGACUUUGAAUAGGUUGCUGGCAAGUGUGUCUUACAGAGGUGUCACAGGGUCAGAAUGAUUUGCCCCUUUGAGGUUGGUUUCAGAGUCAGAAUCUCAUACGACAGAGAAGCUAGAGGUUGGACCUAAACAGUCCUUCCCUGCACACCAACAGAGUCUGUGGAUGAAAGAGCCUUUUUCUGGAGAGAGUCCAUGCUUUUCUGCAGGUUUUCAAAGGGAUUUAAAAUCUGAGACAGGUUAGGAACCACUGGGUGACGUGGUUCUGGGGUAGGUGGAAGAUGGAGUUUUUUUCUUUUUCUUUUUUGGAGACAGGGUCUGGCUCUGUCACCCAGACUGGAGUCCAAUGCCAUAAUAGGCUCAUGGCAGCCUCAACCUCCCGGACUCAAGCGAUCCUCCCGCCUCAGCCUCUCGAGCAGCUGGGACUAGAGGUGUGUGCCACCAUGCCUGGAUAGUUUUUGUGUUGCUGUUUUUUGUAGACACAGGGUUUCCCUAUAUGGCCCAGGUUGGUCUCAAUUGAUCCUCUUGCCUUGGCCUCCCAAAGUACUAGGACUACAGGUGAGAGCCACAGUGCCCGGCCGGAUUUUUGUUUUUUUGUUUUUGUUUUUUUUUUUUUUGAGAUGGAGUUUCGCUCUUGUUGCACAGGCUAGACUGCAAUGGCGCGAUCUUGGCUCACUGCAACCUCCGCCUCCCGGGCUCAAGUGAUUCUCCUGCCUCAGCCUCCCAAGCAGCUGGGAUUACAGGCAGGCGCCACCACACCCAGCUAAUUUAGUAUUUUUAGUACAGACGGGGUUUCACCAUGGGCUGGUCUCGAACUCCUGACCUCAGGUGAUCUGCCUGCCUUGGAUCUCUCAAAGUGCUGGGAUUACAGGCAUGAGCCACCACGCCCGGCCCAGAUUCUUUUUUUUCUUACUCUGCCAAAUCUAUAUUUUAUAAACUUUUAAUAACUAACUUGUGUUGAUUCCAUGUAAUUAAAAACGUACAGUAUGCAUGAAUAAACACAUUUAUAAAACAUAUGGCAUAUAUAUUUAAAACAUCCGCAUGCACGAUCUGGAAGAUCACGGCCUAUAAUUCCCAGAUGCAGCCUCUGCUGUAAUUUUUUUUUUUUUUUUUUUUUUAGACAGGGUCUCACUUUUUCACUCAGGCUGGAAUGCAGUGGCACCAUCUUGGCUCAGUGCAGCCUUGACCACCCUGGUUCAAGCGAUCCUCCUGCCUCAUCUCCUCAAGUAGCUAGGUCUGCAGACAUACGCCACCACACCUGGCUAAUUUUUGUAUUUUAGUAGAGACGGGGUUUCACCAUGUUGGCCAGGCUGGUCUUGAACUCCUGACCUCAAGUGAUCUGCCUGCCUCCGCCUCCCAAAGUGCUGGGAUUACAGGCGUGAGCCACCGCACCUGGUCUGCUGCUGCAAUCUUAAGAUGGCCAUAUAAUAUCUCUUAAAACUACAAAUUCCACUUUCCUUCUUCUGUCCUGACCUCAACUUAAUCACAAACAAACAACCUCCCUCCCAAAACACACACACACACUCAUGGCAGUCCCCCCGUCAAGUGUCAGCUAUGUGGUAGUUCGCCCCAUUCUCCUGGGGUGAGAUCUGCAGCUGGCUCUCUGCCCAGGCACUCGGCACUCAGGCCCUCCUUCCCUACCCGGCUGUCAGCUUAGGGGUCCUCCUCCACCUAUCCUCGUGAGAUCUGCAGACAACCCUGUAAGCUCUGAACCAAAGAGGAAGAAAUCCUGGGGAUGACAUAGAGGGCUCUGGACACCUCAUCCCACCAGUCAUUGUCCUGGUCACACUCUCUCCUUGGCAGGGGGCCCGUGACAAUGCUUCCAUUCUCAGAGCAGGUCUCUGGGCCACUCCUGCCCCUGGAGCCUCUGGGAUCGGUUCAGACUCUGUCCCAUAGCACAGCCUCUUCAUCUUUCAACAGGCUCAUCUUCAAGGCUACAGCGGCCAGCCCCCAUGACUAGGCACCUGAUGUCCAUUUUCUCAUUAAACAUUGUGACAAGCCCCGAAGGCAGCCAUUCAGUUUUAUGAAUGAGGAAAGUGGGACUCAAGGAGGUGACGGGGAAGGAAGUGGGUUUAGGUUUAUUCUGGAGCCUGCUCUUUACCACCGUACCACUGCCUCUCCCAGGCCAGUGCACUGGAGCCAGAUGGUAUCAACUGCCAGCUCAAGGACACCUAGGUCAACUUCCCAAAAGAGGCCUAGGGGUUGGGCAAGGAGGCCAUUGAGAUUGUAGAGGCCAGGCCUUGCUUGCCCCUGGCAUUGGGGAGAAUGGGCACCACCCCAGGCCAACUGGGGAAGGGCCAGGCACCAGAGCUGCGUCCUUCUGCCCACUCUUGCUGUAGAGGAUCAGAGUCCAAGACGCCAACUCCAUCAGACACAAGGACCUUCAAGAGCAAGGAACUAGGCUGGGCACGGUGGCUUACGCACUAUGGGGGGCUGAGGCGGGAGGAUCACUUGAGCCCAGGAGUUUGAGACCAGCCUGGGCAACUUAGCAAGACCCCAUAUCUACAAAAAAUCUAAAAAUUAGCUUGGUGUGGCUGGGUGCGGUGGCUCACACCUCUAAUCCCAGCACUUUGGGAUGCCAAGGCAGGUGGAUCACGAGGUCAGGAGUUCAGGACCAGCCUGGCCAACAUGGUGAAACCCCAUGUAUAGUAAAAAUACAAAAAUUAGCUGGGCAUGGUGGUGGGCACCUGCAAUCCCAGCUAUUCGGGAGGCUGAGGCAGGAGAAUCGCUUGAACCCGGGAGGUAGAGGUUGCAGUGGGCCGAGACUGUGCCAUUGCACUCCAGCCUGGGGGACAAGAGCAAGACUUCGUCUCAAAAAAAAAAAAAAAAAUUAGCUUGGUGUGGCGGUGCACACAGUAGUCCUAACUGCUCAGGAGGCUGAGGCAGGAGGAUUGCUUGAGCCCAAGAGGUUGAGGUUGCAGUAAACUAUGAUCGCAGCACUGCACUCCAGACUGGGUGACACAGCGAGACCCUGUUUCUAAAAAAAGGAAAAAACAAAACAAAAACAAACAAGGAACUCUGCCUGGAAGUCCAACUAAGUCCUGGGAAGGUGGGGACGGGGGGUGGGGGUGAGGGGACAAGUGAAAAAGAGCCAGGAAGCCCCUCCUGCAUAGCCGCCUGACUCCCAGAGGCCUCCUGAGUCCUCCUCCCUGGGAUCUGGACUCCCCUCCCCCAACCCAGCACUUCUUCCUGGGAACAAGCCCGUGUUUGGAGGCAGCAUGGUGCAGGGUUAGGAGCAGCCUCUGCCACUUUCUGGCUGGGUAAGACUUAGGUAAGUUACUUCCCCUUUCUGUGCCUCAGUUUCCCCAUCUGUAAAGUGGGAAUCACAGUAGUACUUACCAAACAGGGUUGUCUUUUUU
rnacentral:lncRNA from 10 species